CCUACGAGAGGCAGCAGUGAGGAAUAUUGGUCAAUGGGCGGGAGCCUGAACCAGCCAAGCCGCGUGAGGGAAGAAGGUACAGCGUAUCGUCAACCUCUUUUGUCAGGGAACAAAGGCGGGGACUAGUCCCCGGAUGAGGGUACCUGAAGAAAAAGCAUCGGCUAACUCCGUGCCAGCAGCCGCGGUAAUACGGGGGAUGCGAGCGUUAUCCGGAUUUAUUGGGUUUAAAGGGUUCGCAGGCGGCCUGUUACGUCAGCGGUAAAAGCCCGGGGCGCAACCCCGGCGAGACGUUGAAACUGGCGGGCUGGAGGGUGAGAGAAGUACGAGGAAGGCGCGGUGUAGCGGUGAAAUGCUGAGAGAUCGCGCAGAACCCCGAUUGCGAAGGCAGCGUAACGGCUCCACACUGACGCUGAGGCACGAAAGCGAGGGUAUCGAACAGGAUUAGAUACCCGUGUAGUC
rnacentral:rRNA from 1 species